ensembl:lncRNA
AGGACCUCGGGGGCAGUUCUGCGCCCACGUGUGGCUUUCCUACCCUGAGAGGCACCCUUGAAGAUGAGCAGAUGCUUAUGGACAAACCACCCAGGAAAUGGGGUCUGGAAGAGCCAGCAGAACCCACGAAUGUAUCCAGCCCUAUGUGCCAUGAGGUGUAACAACUCAUUUCUAAAUGGAAAGAGAACGACCUGCUGACACCGAUAGGACCUGCUGAUGUCCAUCUCCCGGCCAUGGCAGAAGACAACAGUACAAGCCUUGAGCAGCUCACCUCCGUUGCCCUGUGCUACCCCAUGCCUGGUGAUCCUGGAGUCUCAUGCCUUCCCCAUCAUUGCUCUGGUUGUGCUCCUGUGAGCUCAAGACCCGUCUCACAUCACGUACAUCUCAGCUGGAAAGAGGAAUUAAAG